GUCCCAGCUACUGCAGGGCCAGGGAACUUGAAUUAGGUGUACCAUAUGAUUAAAUGGAGGCUGAUAACAAAAAAAAAAAAAAAAAAAAAAAAAAUGGCGUACUUAGGACAAGUUUCUUUUACUUGUUUCCAACAGUUGCAUAUCACAGGCAUUUUUGAAUACUUGAAAGAAUAACAACAUUGUAGUGAAACUUCAAAUUGUUAUCAAUGUGAUAAAGCUGUUUUACAACACAGUUAUAUACAUUAGAGAACACAUACUGGAGAGAAAUCCUAUGAAGAUGCAAUGUGGUAAAUCCUUUGUGUGUAGUGCAGUAAUCUUUAAGGACCUUAAAGAACUGAUACUGAAAAGAAUCUGUGACUAAAGGAUUUGAUGAGGUCUGUAGCCAGCACCCUUGCAUUCAGUGCCAGGUGUAACAUGGCUGUGAAUAUGACUGCACAGCAGUUUCAGCUGUGGGAGCACCUUCAAUCCGAAUCACGUACCUCUGGCUUUCUAGUAUACAGAUGCCAUUGCUCUCAUCUGCUUGUCUGCCAUUGCAUUUUUCUAUACUAUAUUUGUCCUCAAAUACAAGUCUGGUAAAAAAUUUCUGGGAAAAGGAUUGACUAGAGAAGGAAAUGGCUCUGAUAUCUAUUAGGAACAAACUGUUCUAGCCCUGGCUAUUCAAGCAGUCAGCUCAGGCAUAAUGGCCCAAGGGGUUCUAUGGAGAUUGACUGACUUAAUUGUUCUAUGAGACAUUUUUGCCAAGUCAUAAGGAAAUAUUUGAAGCAGGAAAUGUUUUUGAGAAACUUGAAGUUUUAAUAGUUAAAUGAAGACCCCCCCCCUCCCCCAAGGAAAAGGAACAUGGGGCUUGGGUCACUAAGAGCAGGGAUGGCUAUAGAAAACACAAUGAACAAGAUAGAGGAAGAAAUAGCUGGGUCUACUGGUUAAGGAAGCAAUGGUGAGAGUCCCCAUGAGAGGAGAUCUCUGAUAAUAGGUUUCAUUUAGAAAUAUUAUUGGGGAAAAUUGGAAGAUAUAUAGUACAAAAUAUAAAAGGAUGGGUAUAAGUGUUUAGACCCCACAAGUAUUGAACAAUACUAGGUUACUAUUGAACAAGACUAACUCAGUUACUGGUCCUGCCAGAACUGCUUCUAUUACAUAUAGUCAGCUGCUCUUUGUUUUUAAAUUAACUUGCUUAUUUAUUUAAGCUGUUACUAUCAAUCACUGCCAUUUAGCAUACAAAAUCAGGUCUAAGAAAUUUCUGUCAGCUCACAGAAAUUGGAUUAGGCCAUUGGAUUAGUGAAUUGACCUUCCUGGAAAGAUUGGAUCAUUUAACCCUCUGGCAUCGCCUACCUAAAGGGAACUAGGGUAUACAUUCUAAGAGAAUUUGAGCUUCUGAAGGAGCUCUUCAAGAAGCUGUAAAAGAAGUUAAUAUUGCAUGUGGAAAAUAAUUAGAAAAACACUGUAGAAAUAGAUAUUUGGAGGAGUUCAGUAAAUUGGAGGAAGAGAUUCUGCAGUUAGACAAGCUAAAAACACGAACAUUAUCCUGACCUGUUUAGCACCUCUCUGUUUGCAUUCUAAUUCUGUAACUACAAGUUUAUGCCCAGAUGGUCUGUGAUGUGGAGGUUCUUCUGAGAGUUAAAAGUUAAUGGAUAACUUGCUUUUGCAGACACUGAACUGUAAAUUUAUGUGUGCUUUGUGCUUUCUGGUGACAUAGUGACGUGAGGGUUUGCAGGAAAAAUAAUGGAUUUG
rnacentral:lncRNA from 1 species